rnacentral:rRNA from 1 species
AUUGAACGCUGGCGGCAGGCUUAACACAUGCAAGUCGAGCGAGCGGCGGACGGGUGAGUAAUGUCUGGGAAACUGCCUGAUGGAGUGGGAUAACUACUGGAAACGGUAGCUAAUACCGCAUACCAUCAGAUGUGCCCAGAUGGGAUUGGCUUGUAGGUGGGGUAAUGGCUCACCUGGGCGACGAUGCUUAGCUGUGCUGAGAGGAUGACCGGCAGCACUGGAACGGAGGCACGGGCCAGAAUCCUACGGGAGGCAGCGGUGGGGAAUAUUGCACAAUGGGCGCAAGCCUGAUGCAGCCAGGCCGCGUGUGUGAAGAAGGCCUUCGGGUUGUAAAGCACUUUCAGCGAGGAGGCGGUACUCGCAGAAGAAGCACCGGCUAACUCCGUGCCAGCAGCCGCGGUAAUAC